GCACAAGGUCGCUUACUGGAAGUCAGCUGCUAACGCAAGCUCAACCCCCUGGUAGCCAGCCACGCACUUUCCCAAACCACCCUCCCCCUUGUAGGGCAAAAGUCAGCCAAGACGUUCCUCUAAAGCGAUGCACGUUAUCAAACGUGGUUUUGACCCAGUGUGUUCUUCACCCCGUUCCCGGCUCCAGAACCUUCAGAACGUCUACACUGCCCCCUGGUGGCUGAAUGUUGUUAUUGAUUUUGAAUCUGAGAAUGCUUCUUAGGAGUCUCAAUGGUGGCUUGCACAGAGAAGAAAGAUCUGGGUAUUAAGGGGAUCUUCUGGAUCCAGGGAUUAAACCCAAUCUCUUACAUCUCCUGUACUGGCAAGCGGACUUUUUACCACUGCACCAUCUGGGAAGCCAGUAUGUAUGUACAUAACAGUUAUAUGUGUAUAUAACUGGAUCAUUUAGCUGUACAUCUAAUGCACAAUAUUGUAAAUUAUUAUAUUUGUAAUUUUAUCAGUUAUAAAAAUGAUUAUAAAUACCUUCCAUGAUGCUGGCUAACUCUUAUAAAUAAUUCUCCAUGUAAAUAAUUUUUAAAGAAGCAGUCUCAGUGGUUGCUAAUCAAUGAAAUAAGAGUUGUUACAGAGAACAAGGAAUAAGACUAUGAGGAAAAUAGAACAGAAUGAUUUUAUAGACUGGGAGCAUAGGUGGCGCAGUGGAAAAGAAUCUGCCUGCCAGUGCAGGAGACUCAGGAGACACGGGUUCCAUCCCUGGGUCAGGAAGAUCCCCUGGCGUAAGAAAUGGCAACCCACUCCAGUAUUCUUGCCUGGAAAAAUCCCAUGGACGAAAGAUCCUGGCAGGCUAAAGUCCAUGGGAUCACAAAAGAGUCGGAUACAACUAAAUACACACAGCCCAGCACUGUAAGGAGGGAACACUUAUCCUGUGACCCAAAUUUUCAUGUACAAAACCAUCCAGACACAGUGGAGUCAUCCGUGGAGGGAACGGUUCUGAUAACCCCUUCAGUCCCUUAUUGGCACUCUGUUAUAAUGUCUACCAUGGGGCUGUCAUAUGUAAUACUUUUUUAUCUUGCCUACAAAGUUACCAUGGAUGAUUCACUUGUGCCUCAACUAAGGCUACAUCCCUCACUGGCACACUGGACCCUGUUUACCUCCUCAAGGGCAUCUCUUCUGCAAUCCUACCCUCCACCUACUGCAUCAUCAGGUUUUCCACUAGUUCUGGCUCUUUCCCAGCAGCAUAGGAACACACUAUUAUCAGUUCAGUACAGUUCAGUUCAGUCACUCAGUCACAGGACAGUCACUCACUCUUCGAGACCCUGUGGACUGCAACACACCAGGCUUCCCUGUCUAUCACCAACUCCCGGAGCUUGCUCAAACUCAUGUCCAUCCAGUCGGUGAUGCUGUCCAACCAUCUCAUCCUCUGUCGUCACCUUCUCCUCCUGCCUUCAAUCUUUCCCAGCAUCAGGGUCUCUUCCAAGGAGUCAGUUCUUCCCAUCAGGUGGCCAAAGUAUUGGACCUUUAGCUUCAGCAAUGAAUAUUCAGGACUGAUUUCCUUUAGGAUGGACUGGUUGGAUCUCCUUGCAGUCCAAGGGACUCUCACUAUUAUCUCUUCCUAACAUCACCGUUUCCUGUCCCGUUAGCCCCUCCACCCACUGCUGCAUUUCUGUCUUUGCCUUUACAGCAAAAUGCUCCAGAGAGGUCUCUGUACACUCUCUCCACUUCCCCUUCUCCCUUCUCUCUUGAACCAGUGUAGCAGGGCUCUUAGUCCCACCACUCACCAACAUGGCUCAUUGUUGGGGUCAUGAGCCAACUUUUAUGUUGCUGAAUCCAAUGGUCAACCUUCAUCCUUAAUCUAACUGAAACUUCUGGCACAACCUGCCACUCCCUCCUUAUUACACUUGCUCUUGGCUUCAGAGACUUGACUCUCUCCUGGACUUCCUCCAGGACUGCUUUCUCCCUAUCUCUUGCUGGUUUCUCCACAUCUCCCUGGCCUCUAAGUGAGGACAUGGCCCAGGGUUCGAUUCUUGGAUUUCAUUCCUUUCCUAACUAUUCCUCAGAGAUCUCACCCAGCCUCACAGCUUUCGAUACCAUCUCUGAGAGGAUGAUUCUCAAACACAUCACCUAGCCAAAUGUCUCACCUGAGCUUAUUUGAAUAUAUGUGGGUAUGUAUGUAUGCAUGUGUGUGUGUAGUCACUCAGUCAUGUCUGACUCUGUGAGACCCCAUGGACUGUAGCCCACCAAGCUCCUCUGUCUGAGCUCCAGGAGGAGAUGUUAAACAGGCAGAGGCUUCCCCGAUGGCUCAAGUGGUAAAGAAUCUGGAAGUCCCCACAAAAAUGCCUCUUUGUCAUUAAAAUUAUUUUGAGCUGAAGGCAAUUAAGAAAGAGCAAACACAGGAAAAGCUCUCUCUACCCUCUGCUUUUCUGCCUAAACGCAUGCGUGCUAAGUUGUUCAGUCACAUCCAACUCUGUUCGACCUUAUGGACUGUAACCUGCCAGGCCCCUCUAUCAGUGGACUUCUCCAGGCAAGGAUACUGGAGUUGGUUGUCAUUUCCUCCUCCAGGGGAUCUUCCCGAUCCAAGGUUCGAACCUGUGUCUCUUGGGUCUCUUGCAUUGGCAGGCAGAUUCUUUACCACUAGUGCCAGCUGGGAAAUCCCUUUCUGCCUAAAGAUAGAAUAUAAAUUAUCCCUGGGCUGGCCACAGACUGUUAGCAGCCCCAGUGGAAUCUGCAAGCAAGCUUUACGCCGUCAGCUUCCUCCCAUGUAUUUAUUUACCUUAUUGCCGUUUGUCACCCUAGGAAACCUAAACCUGCUUUCCCCUGUCCUCUCAUUUCUCUGCAGGUUUUUGAUCUUUGUUGAAGAUGCUAAUAAGCCAGGGUUGUAAGCCUCCACUUUGAGUUACUUUUUCUGGCGGUUUCUCCCACAUCCUACUCGAGUUAAUAAACCAGUUUUCUCUUGUUAAUCUGUCUUUUUAUUAGAUUCCCCCAUUGCAAGCUUAAGAUGAGUAGAGCUAAGAUUUUGUGUCCCCUCUGAGGACCAGGAGCAGGUCAUUUCUUUGAGAAGUGGACUAGGACACACACAUGAUGGAGGGACUGCAGAGGGGAGGGAAAGACAGAACAAACGGCCUGUUUUUGAAGUAGGGACAUCAGUGGCUCUGUCUCUGACAGAACUCCCUGAGGAACUAUGGCCCACGCCGCUGAACCAGCUCAUGAAGGGAGGAGGUGGCAGCUCCACGGGCUGACUCCUGUUCUCCACUCACUGAUUGCUCCCAGGGACAAUAACAGCUCGGAAUUUCCAAGGUUUGCUGCCUGCAGCCCAGCCAGCUCCCACAGUGUCGCAGAAAUCCCUCAGCUAGACAAGGGAGAGGCCAGGCACUUGGGGAGGAAGCUGUGAGAUGCUGGACCGUCUUCCUCAGCCUCCAUCAGGGAGGAAGAGGGACUCACAGGUCGGCUGUGAGCCCACACCAGCCUCUGAUGGUUGAAGACCAUGACAUCAAACAUCUGAAAACUUGACUUAAAUGCUAUUCCUGGCCCUUUCCUUUCAAAUAUUCCUCUUGCCCCAUAUUUUCUUCUCUUUCUGUUUCUGUCCUCUAGGUCUUUUAUUCUGGCCUUCGUCCCUGGGUCUGACACUUGCUUUGGCACUAAGGCCCCACGGUAGAGACCAAUGUGACCAGCAGACCAGUGAAGGGGGAGCUGGUGAGGUGGUCUCAGAGAGGAGGCAGAUAGACAGAUGGCGGAGGGCCUGGGAGGCUGUUUUAGGACUUUGCUUGAAUGUGAAAUUGAUGGACUGUGUUGGAUGAUUUUAAGUUGAAAUUUUCAUGUUCUGUAUCAUAUUCACAGGAAGUAAAUUUUCCUUUCACCUUCAGAAUCUCUUCUGUCUCUCCCUCUUACAUUUCUCAUUUCUUCUUUCUCUCAAUUUCUUUCCGUCUCUCCCUUCCCAGGGUAGUUCACUCCAUCCCAGCUCCUCCCCGCCUCCCUUCAACCUCAGCCUCUCUGCUCAUUGAACUUUCUUCUGCUAAGUGCCCUGUAAGCCCUCUGGCUUCUCCCUUGGUCUGGAUCCCUCCCAGUCAUCACUGCUCUUCUCUGCUAGUAUUUACCAUUCAGAGGCUUUGAGCCAUGCUGCUUGCCAGCUUAUGCAACAGUGAGCCUUCUGAAAUAUGACUCUGUCUCUGACAUUUUGGAUCAAAGCUAUCCUACCAGAAAAAAAAAAAAAAUCCAGAUAUAAAUUCCUGAUGUCAAAUGCAUUCAGCAUCUUAGGCAGUUUGCGAGUUCGGGUCACGUUGUUGGUGUGACCCUGGGAUCACAACACAGGGGAAAGGCAUCAGCAUCUGUGAGGAGUCCAGGGGGCCAUGAGUUGUCUGAUGACAUCACACCCAGCCUAUCCCAGGCCCUGCACCAAGAAGAAGCCUGCUUCUUGCAGAAAUUGCUCUAGGCAGAGGAAGGACCAGAGACUACAGUCUUUGAUCCCUCCAAGUUGGGAAAAUUGCACACUGAAAUUAAGAAGCAUUUUUCCAUCUCCCAGGAAGUAAGAUCAUGCUCAGUCACUACAGUCAUGUCUGACUCUUUGCGACCUCAUGGACUGUAGCCCACCAGCCUCCUCUGUCCAUGGGAUUCUCCGGGCAAGAAUACUGGAGUGGGUUGCCAUGCCCCUCUCCAGGGGAUCUUCCAGACCCAGAGAUUGAACACACGUCUCCUGUGUCUCCUACAUUACAGGCAGAUUCUUUACCCACUGAGCCACCUGGGAAGCCUGUAAGUAAGAUCUGAACAUACUUCCGGACCAUGCUUGUCCUCUGGUCCGGGGAAACCUACUUUCAAGGUCACUGAGGUAGGCAGAAUUUUGGCCCCUAUAACUUUCACACUCUGGUGUCACAACCUCAAUUAUUUUGCCUUACAUGACAAAAGGGAAUUUGUAGAUGUACUCAAGGCUAUUAAUCAACUGCUCUUAAAAUAGUGAGAUAAGCUGGAUUGUCCAGGUGGACCCAAUGUGACCACAUUAGCCCUUGAAAACAAAAGAAGAAGUCAGAGAUAUUUAGAAUUUAAGAAGGACUCAACACAUCAACACCACUCAACAUCAGCGUUGGCUUUGAGGACAGAAGAAGGGCCACAAGUCAAGGGAUGCAGGCAGCUUCUGGAAGUUGAGAAGCUCCUCCAGCUGAUGACCAAUGAGGACAUGGGGACCUCAGUCUUGCAACCACAAGGAAGUGCAUUCUGUCCACAACCUGAAUGAACCUGGAAGCAGAUUCUUCCCAGAGCCUCCCAGUAGGAACACAGCUGGCCAAUACCCUAAUUUCAGUCUUAAGAGACCCUCAGAAGAGGUCCCUAGCUGAGAUUUCUGACCAACAGAACUUUGAGAUAAAAACAUUCAUUGUUUUAAGCCACUCGAUGUGUGGCGGUUUGUUGCAGCAGCACUGGGAGACUAACAGGUCCCCUCUGAUUAGACCACUGUAAGCUGGAGCUAUCUGC
ensembl:lncRNA